AUGAAAAUUUUAUUAGUAGAUGUAGAGACCACGAAAUAUACACAUGGAUUAUAUACUUUGACCAGAAAACUUUUUUCAGCACUGUAUUUUGCAAAAGGAUAAUAUUCCACAAAGCUAUUAUUAGCUAUGCCCAACUCAAAGUUCAUCUGGAAAACUCCCCUCCACCACAGGGGGACAGGUGCCUUCUGUUGGCUUAGGCUACGUUUGGGUAGUGAGGUGAUCUCAGAUGAUCUAUGAAUAGUAGUGGAAAAGUAAUGAUAAAAGUUUUGAAUUACGGGCAAACAAGGAUGAACUUUAAGUCUUCUUCUUCAACACGUUGUUCCUUUAGGCAAUUGCGAUAGAUUUUAAUGGCCAAGUGCCAAUGACUUUCUUGCUCCUUUGGGUUAUGCAUUCUAGUUUGGUGGAUCUUCUAACACCUUGAAAUUGGCAGUUUGGUAGUCAUCUAUUUAUGUUGCUAUAGAGAAUGACAUAUCUUUGGAGAGAAACAAAUGAUCAUAAUUUCAAGGCAGCCGGGUAAAAGUACAUUCUAGUGCAGAGUGUAAAGGACUGAAGUGCUUUGCUUUUGGUUUACCAAAGCACACUUUUGGAGCUUUUUUAUUGAAUUUAGAGCUCAUAAAAGCGUGUUUUUUUUAAUUUUGUUUGAAAAAAAAUAGAAAAUAUCAUUUCAAGACUCCGAAAAUGAUGUAGACAAAUUUUUUUAAGUAUUUAGUUGAUAUUGAAGAUCAUUUAUAUACCAUGGUGCCACAUGUUUCUGCAUGUGAUGUAUAUGAUUUGAACCCGAUAUAAUAGUCCAAGUUGGCUUUCCAGAUGGAUUGAUAUUGGACUGCUUACGUUAGUAUAGAAGUCAAUACCUACAGGUUCGUGAGCUUUUUUUCAUGGCCCUUUUGCUAUAUUUCAAUUCAACCAUGUACUUAAAUUUGAUUGUGGUUAUCUAUUAUUAUAGAUGUGUAUAUUUAGCAAAGCACAAGAGAAUUAUAUAAAAUGCUUUUUGUAUAGGUGAGAAUUAUAUAAAAUGUUAUGUUUAAAAUUAAUGUAAUUAGAUGAUUACUUAAUUGUCAUGUUGCAUAUUACUCUAACAUAUUGAGUAAAUAACUCAAUAGGCUAAGCAUACUAACAUCUUGCUUUUUAAACAUUUUUUUCCUUGUAUUUAUAGAUUGUUUGUUAUAUUAUUCAUCACAUUUUAAAAAGUGCGCUCCAAUUCAAUGAGGCGUGCACUUUUGCUUUGUGCCUUGCGCCUAGGCUCUAGACAACAUUUGUGCUUAAGUAGGCUAGUGCUUUGCUUUCAGACUUGGCAAUAAUAUAUAAUACUAAGGCAUCCAAUCCAGAGAAACAAAUGGAUCAAAACAAAGAAAAAAAAAAAUCCUUGGCUUU